rnacentral:lncRNA from 1 species
AAAGUGCCUGGGACUCUUUCCUUGGAUGGUGGCCAGCUGGCAGGGGAUGAGCCGUGCCCGUAGCCAUUAACUCCCUCCACCUGCAGAACGAAGGGGCAGGGUCUCUGACCCACGCUGAUGCCUGCAAGACCAGGGACUGCUGCUGGCAUGGCCCAAAAGCAUGAGGAGAUGGCUCCUGGAGCCGAGCAGCACCAGGACUGGCCUCCUGCGUGUGGGUGUUUUAAAGACCAGAGGGUCCCGAUGCAUCAGUCUCUCCACAAGCAUCAUUGAGUUUAACCCCAAAAGCCCCCCUUGGGAGCACCAGAGCUGGAGAUUAGUUACAAGGGUGGGGAGUUACAGGGAUGGUGAAAUAGGUGCCGAAGUCCAGGCUGAAGAGUGGUGUAUCCCCAGGAGUAAAGAUGUUACGGGGAAGAUAUCUACAAGCACAACAGGCUUUCUGCUCAAGAAGCUGCAGGAAAUGAAGGCUGUACAAACAGGAACCACUUACCUGUGAGCUACAAGAACAGAGACACGAAGAGGGG